rnacentral:rRNA from 1 species
AGAGUUUGAUCCUGGCUCAGGACGAACGCUGGCGGCACGCUUAACACAUGCAAGUCGAACGAGAGAAGAGGAGCUUGCUUUUCUGAUCUAGUGGCGGACGGGUGAGUAACACGUGAGCAAUCUGCCUUUCAGAGGGGGAUACCGAUUGGAAACGAUCGUUAAUACCGCAUAACAUAAUUGAACCGCAUGAUUUGAUUAUCAAAGAUUUAUCGCUGAAAGAUGAGCUCGCGUCUGAUUAGCUAGUUGGUAAGGUAACGGCUUACCAAGGCGACGAUCAGUAGCCGGACUGAGAGGUUGAUCGGCCACAUUGGGACUGAGACACGGCCCAGACUCCUACGGGAGGCAGCAGUGGGGAAUAUUGCACAAUGGAGGAAACUCUGAUGCAGCGAUGCCGCGUGAGGGAAGAAGGUUUUAGGAUUGUAAACCUCUGUCUUCAGGGACGAAAAAAGACGGUACCUGAGGAGGAAGCUCCGGCUAACUACGUGCCAGCAGCCGCGGUAAUACGUAGGGAGCGAGCGUUGUCCGGAAUUACUGGGUGUAAAGGGAGCGUAGGCGGGAUCGCAAGUCAGAUGUGAAAACUAUGGGCUUAACCCAUAAACUGCAUUUGAAACUGUGGUUCUUGAGUGAAGUAGAGGUAAGCGGAAUUCCUAGUGUAGCGGUGAAAUGCGUAGAUAUUAGGAGGAACAUCAGUGGCGAAGGCGGCUUACUGGGCUUUAACUGACGCUGAGGCUCGAAAGCGUGGGGAGCAAACAGGAUUAGAUGCCCUGGUAGUCCACGCCGUAAACGAUGAUUACUAGGUGUGGGGGGACUGACCCCUUCCGUGCCGCAGCAAACGCAAUAAGUAAUCCACCUGGGGAGUACGACCGCAAGGUUGAAACUCAAAGGAAUUGACGGGGGCCCGCACAAGCAGUGGAGUAUGUGGAUUAAUUCGAAGCAACGCGAAGAACCUUACCAGGUCUUGACAUCGUAUGCAUAGCUCAGAGAUGAGUGAAAUCUCUUCGGAGACAUAUAGACAGGUGGUGCAUGGUUGUCGUCAGCUCGUGUCGUGAGAUGUUGGGUUAAGUCCCGCAACGAGCGCAACCCUUACUGUUAGUUGCUACGCAAGAGCACUCUAGCAGGACUGCCGUUGACAAAACGGAGGAAGGUGGGGAUGACGUCAAAUCAUCAUGCCCCUUAUGACCUGGGCCUCACACGUACUACAAUGGCUGUCAACAGAGGGAAGCAAAGCCGCGAGGUGGAGCGAACCCCUAAAAGCAGUCUUAGUUCGGAUUGUAGGCUGCAACCCGCCUACAUGAAGUCGGAAUUGCUAGUAAUCGCAGAUCAGCAUGCUGCGGUGAAUACGUUCCCGGGCCUUGUACACACCGCCCGUCACGCCAUGGGAGUCGGUAACACCCGAAGCCUGUAGUCUAACCGCAAGGAGGACGCAGUCGAAGGUGGGAUUGAUGACUGGGGUGAAGUCGUAACAAGGUA